AGUGAACGCUGGCGGUAGGCCUAACACAUGCAAGUCGAACGGCAGCACAGUAAGAGCUUGCUCUUACGGGUGGCGAGUGGCGGACGGGUGAGGAAUACAUCGGAAUCUACUUUUUCGUGGGGGAUAACGUAGGGAAACUUACGCUAAUACCGCAUACGACCUACGGGUGAAAGCAGGGGAUCUUCGGACCUUGCGCGAUUGAAUGAGCCGAUGUCGGAUUAGCUAGUUGGCGGGGUAAAGGCCCACCAAGGCGACGAUCCGUAGCUGGUCUGAGAGGAUGAUCAGCCACACUGGAACUGAGACACGGUCCAGACUCCUACGGGAGGCAGCAGUGGGGAAUAUUGGACAAUGGGCGCAAGCCUGAUCCAGCCAUACCGCGUGGGUGAAGAAGGCCUUCGGGUUGUAAAGCCCCUUUGUUGGGAAAGAAAAGCAGCAGGUUAAUACCCCGCUGUUCUGACGGUGCCCAAAGAAUAAGCACCGGCUAACUUCGUG
rnacentral:rRNA from 1 species